rnacentral:rRNA from 1 species
ACCAUGCAGUCGAACGGUGAUGUCAGAGCUUGCUCUGGCGGAUCAGUGGCGAACGGGUGAGUAACACGUGAGUAACCUGCCCCCGACUCUGGGAUAACUGCUAGAAAUGGUAGCUAAUACCGGAUAUGACGAUUGGCCGCAUGGUCUGGUCGUGGAAAGAAUUUCGGUUGGGGAUGGACUCGCGGCCUAUCAGGUUGUUGGUGAGGUAAUGGCUCACCAAGCCUACGACGGGUAGCCGGCCUGAGAGGGUGACCGGCCACACUGGGACUGAGACACGGCCCAGACUCCUACGGGAGGCAGCAGUGGGGAAUAUUGCACAAUGGGCGAAAGCCUGAUGCAGCAACGCCGCGUGAGGGAUGACGGCCUUCGGGUUGUAAACCUCUUUUAGUAGGGAAGAAGCGAAAGUGACGGUACCUGCAGAAAAAGCACCGGCUAACUACGUGCCAGCAGCCGCGGUAAUACGUAGGGUGCAAGCGUUGUCCGGAAUUAUUGGGCGUAAAGAGCUCGUAGGCGGUUUGUCGCGUCUGCUGUGAAAUCCCGAGGCUCAACCUCGGGUCUGCAGUGGGUACGGGCAGACUAGAGUGCGGUAGGGGAGAUUGGAAUUCCUGGUGUAGCGGUGGAAUGCGCAGAUAUCAGGAGGAACACCGAUGGCGAAGGCAGAUCUCUGGGCCGUAACUGACGCUGAGGAGCGAAAGCAUGGGGAGCGAACAGGAUUAGAUACCCUGGUAGUCCAUGCCGUAAACGUUGGGAACUAGAUGUGGGGACCAUUCCACGGUCUCCGUGUCGCAGCUAACGCAUUAAGUUCCCCGCCUGGGGAGUACGGCCGCAAGGCUAAAACUCAAAGGAAUUGACGGGGGCCCGCACAAGCGGCGGAGCAUGCGGAUUAAUUCGAUGCAACGCGAAGAACCUUACCAAGGCUUGACAUAUACCGGAAACAUGCAGAAAUGUGUGCCCCGCAAGGUCGGUAUACAGGUGGUGCAUGGUUGUCGUCAGCUCGUGUCGUGAGAUGUUGGGUUAAGUCCCGCAACGAGCGCAACCCUCGUUCUAUGUUGCCAGCACGUAAUGGUGGGAACUCAUAGGAGACUGCCGGGGUCAACUCGGAGGAAGGUGGGGAUGACGUCAAAUCAUCAUGCCCCUUAUGUCUUGGGCUUCACGCAUGCUACAAUGGCCGGUACAAAGGGCUGCGAUACCGUAAGGUGGAGCGAAUCCCAAAAAGCCGGUCUCAGUUCGGAUUGAGGUCUGCAACUCGACCUCAUGAAGUCGGAGUCGCUAGUAAUCGCAGAUCAGCAACGCUGCGGUGAAUACGUUCCCGGGCCUUGUACACACCGCCCGUCAAGUCAUGAAAGUCGGUAACACCCGAAGCCAGUGGCCUAACCGCAAGGGAGGAGC